rnacentral:rRNA from 1 species
UACGGAGGGUGCGAGCGUUGUCCGGAAUCAUUGGGCGUAAAGGGCGCGUAGGUGGCUUCUCACGCGUGCGGUGAAAGCCUGGGGCUCAACCCCGGGUCGGCCGUGGGAACUGGGGGGCUUGAGCACUGUAGAGGCAGGCGGAAUUCCGGGUGUAGCGGUGGAAUGCGUAGAGAUCCGGAAGAACACCGGUGGGGAAGGCGGGCUGCUGGGCAGUUUAGCUGACACUGAGGCGCGAAAGCGUGGGGAGCAAACAGG